CGCUUGCGACAGCCUACCUAAUUUCUAGAACUAAAGAGCUGUUCGAUCUCUCCAGUAACGUCUCAACCUUUCAUUAAUCCAUUCUUAGCUCCGCCUUUUUGCGUGAUUAGCCCACUCUCUCCGACUGAGAAGCAUUCAAUCGACCCGUUCGCAUCCCACCGUAACCGGCCGAAGCUUCAAAUAUAAAUUAUCUCGACUUUCCGAUUUAUAUCGUCUUUUAUUUUCGUGACCUUUCCGAUUCUCCAUCCAUCGUUCUCAGGGAUCGAUCCAAACCGGAAAACAAUGUAAGAUUGCUAUUUCGAGAAAAGACUGUAUCUCUUAUCCCAUGGCCAUGGCCAAGGCCAAAUCACUCCUCUAAUGCCGACAGAGUUAGAAGCAUAUUAGUCUAAACCAUAAAGAUAAAAAUUGAUUUUGGAGGUGUGCGUCAACCUAACCGUAGCAGUGAGCCGACAAGAACCUCAAAUGCUCUUGCUCUCCCAGGUAUUCUCAUGGAUGUGAAGUUCCUUCAACGUGCAAAUAUUACUGGAAGAAAGUCUCGGCUAAUCUUAUGUCUGCAAUCCCUUUGAACGCAACACAGCUCUUUCCGGCGGCGUUCAAACCGAGUUUAGCUCUUGAGUUUGAUUGGGUUCAUUGCUUGGAUUCAAUUUCUAUAGUUUUAAAUUGGAUGAUUUGUGAUUAUUAUGAUUUGUGAUUAACCAGCUCCAGUUAUAGGGGAAAUUGUGAAAGUAAUGCAUUGAUUUAGUACUGUUUUCUGCUAUAUAUAUACAUAAUCUUUGUUUCAAGGACAAUGAUACACGUGGUGAAGAUCUUGAGCCUGCUGGUGGUAGACUCUACUUAUUGGAUUGCUCUUUUGUAUGUUGCAAUAUUAUUACUCUGCGAACUCAUACAUGGUCGAGCAUGCUGAUUUGUCUUAUGUUUGCCUUUUAUUGUUCUCGACCAGCUAAUAUCGUCUAGAUGUAACAACUUUUGGUUUGCACCAGAUACCGAUAUGCUUUGUAGUGUCACUUGGAUGCUAUGAACACCAUAAGAUGUGAAAGGUAUAUGGCUAUUCACUUGCAUAUUUUUCCUUUUGUAAGUUUAAGAUAUGUGUGCUUGCCAAAGUUGUACAUGAGUAAUGGUUAAAGUCAACCGUAUGUCUUACAGUCUUAGUGUAUUUGAUGGGUGAGCCAUACUAGAUGCAAAAUUGACCACAUAUGGUGAUGUACCAAAGGUUGUAGUAGUUACAAACAACUACCCUAAGUUGGUAGGAGGUCGGCUCUUUCUCAAUGAAACAUCUGGCAUUCAUCUAUUUUGAUCAUUAGUGUACUGCCAGCAAAAGUUAUCUUAAAAAGUCGGUGAUAUCGCCAAUAACUUUUGUUUUAAUUACAAUCUUAUCAUGCCCUGAUUCCUUUCGAACCCUGUUGCUACUUGCUAUAUAGGGUAUGUGACAUUAACGAAGGAUCAAACUCUAACACAACCAAAUAUGGAGGUCCUAAAAGCACUACAUCUUAUUUCACAUGUUUUUGUGUUUUCAGGUUUACUGGAUGACACUUUUCCACCAUAGCGUGUUUUUGUGUUUUCUGGUUUGACAAUUUUCCACCAGAUGGAUGUUACAUUCUCAUUUCAAUAAAUAAUUAUUCGACGCA